GGCAUCUUAGCUCAGUUGGCUAGAGCGUUGGCUAUACCAAAGCCUUCCCUAUAUUGGCGUGGAUUCGAAUCCCACCGAGACCG
rnacentral:tRNA from 1 species